UAGAUUCCAGUGCUUAGCUCAGGGUGGAGGGACAUGUCAAAGUCUAGGAGUAUAGGAAGGGAUAUAGUGCAUAGUGGUGGUUCAGGGCGGAGGGAUAGGUCAAAGUCUGGGAGUAUAGGAAGAGAUAGAGUGCAUAGUGGUCAUUCAGGGCGCAGGGACAGGUCAAAGUCUAGGAGUAUAGAAAGGGAUAUAGUGCAUAGUGGUGGGUGGUUGGUGGGGUGGUGGGUGGCGCCCUGGCGCAGGGACAGGUCAAAGUCUAGGAGUAUAGGAAGGGAUAUAGUGCAUAGUGGUCGUUCAGGGCGCAGGACAGGGUCAAAGUCUAGGAGUAUACAUGUAGGAAGGGAUAGAUCGCAUAGUGGUGGUUCAGAGCGCGACAGUGUAUAUAGAUUUAUAACACCUAGACGCAGGGAGACUCAGAGAAGUUUAGAUAGUUUUUUAACAUUUAGUGGCUCAGGAUGCAGAAACAGCAGUGUAGAUAGGGUUAGAACCCCUGCUAGUUCAACCUCACAUGCAGGACAAAGAGGGAGGACUAUUAGAGGAUAGGUGUAGCAAGUCAGGGAUUGGAGGGGAGACUCCUGCUCGAAAAAGGUCCAGAGCGGCAUCUGAAAGUUCACGGCCUUCAACAAAAAGAUUUUGCUCUGCUGACGACAGAUACCCCAGCUCUUUCAGAAGCGAAAUUCCAGAAAGGUGUGAUCAAGCUGCUGCUUUCCAUCAGGGACACCAUGCUGCUGGCCAUUGCCCCUGAUGGAUCAUCAACCCCACCAACCCCUGUCGACACAGUGGAGGAGUUUGACAUACUAGAGGAAAGGUUGGCCGGACGAUGAGAUGGAAAGAGCAACCCUAAAAAGGGAUUUCAGAAGGCUUGGGGGAGUGGAUGCAACAGACAUGAGAAAAAAGUCCAUGUCUGCCUAACUCCCUGAGUAAUAAGAUUAUGGCAAAGAUGAAUCUGAAGGAAAAGUGCGCAAAAAUAGCUUUCGCCAAAUCGCGGCUGUGUAAAACCAUUUGUGGUAAGUG